UACGUAGGGGGCUAGCGUUGUCCGGAAUCAUUGGGCGUAAAGAGCUCGUAGGCGGUUUGUCGCGUCUGCUGUGAAAUCCCGAGGCUCAACCUCGGGUCUGCAGUGGGUACGGGCAGACUGGAGUGCGGUAGGGGAGAAUGGAAUUCCUGGUGUAGCGGUGGAAUGCGCAGAUAUCAGGAGGAACACCGAUGGCGAAGGCAGUUCUCUGGGCCGUAACUGACGCUGAGGAGCGAAAGCGUGGGGAGCGAACAGG
rnacentral:rRNA from 1 species